UGUUUUCUGGUGGCCAUAUCUGAUGGAGCAAGAGUGCCUAAUUGCAAGUACUCUUCUAAUGUUUGUCCAUUGAACUACUCACCCGUGUGUGGAACCAAUGGAAUAACAUACGGCAAUGAAUGGCGUCAGAUGCUAACAUAUUAAUCCGGAAGCAAGGCCAAUGCUAAAUCAAACAUCUGCAGGCAUGGCACAGGAAUUGUAUCUUAAUUAAGCUUGAAAGACUUUCAAUAUGUCCCUCUCGUCAUUAUACAUCCCUGUCAUUAUACUGUACAGUGCUUUGAUGCAACCUGUGUUGUUAAAAGCGCUAUAUAAAUAAAAAAAAAAUGAAAAAUGAAUGAAAAUGAAUAUGUCUUGAAUGUGUAAUGGUAUAAUUCAUGAAUAAAUAUUGCAUACUUAA